UGAUGAUGUAAGCAGGUAUUUUAAUGGUAAAGGCAGAAAUCUAUUGGCGUUUGGAUGAAAGCACUGCCAAAAUUAUCGAACUGAAUUUCACACUACAAAACUAUUUUAAUGCCAAGUUGAAGGUAGUUUAUGGCUUACCAGUUGGCAUCUUUGACUCUUUAAACAUCACUGUACACUUGGAUUAAAAUGAUAAAAAGACAGACCAAGAAGAUAUACAGCAAAGGGUAGGUUUCAGAAUUAAAAACAUGACCUCACCACUCAGCCAACUGUGGAACUCUUGACCCAUUCAAUACCAUUCUCCAUGGAUUAAAAAAGUUGGAUGAUAUCCAUCUGUUGGAACCUCAGGGGAUGUGGUAAAGCCUGAAAACUACAGCCAGCCAGAGGUGCAUGAAAUCUGCUACUGUAUUUUCCAGGACUCUUUGAUUCCAGUCCUUGGCUAAAAAUUCUCACAAAGUUCACCAAUCAUGAUGUGGACCUAUGACCCAUAAGUUUUCUCAAUCGACUCCAAACAGUAAACUGCCUUUGGAUACAAGACAUGUCCGUGCUCAGAGCAGCUGGAAUUGGACUAGUGAAAAUAAAGAUAUGUAAGCAGUUAGGAAUCUACUAAAGCUUUAACUUAGCUGGGCACAGUGUAACUAACAUAGUAUUUAGGAUGGAGCUCACAGUCCUUUAGUUGUACAGAUUGGAAAACUUUUUUGCAAGAUCAAAUAUGCUGAUGUAAGAUUAUAUUUAUUAUGAUGUAUAAGAGGUCACACUCGUGUAUUUUACAUAAUGUGUUGCAUAGAUAAAAUGAAUUACUGUAUAGUAUGCUUUUCAAAUAUCAGUAUCUUGAAAUGUUCAAGUCUUAAGAUUUUGAUCUAAAAUAUGAAUGUUUUAUGAUAAAAGUGGUUAAUUUUCUCUAGAAAUGCUUUUGCAUGUUUCCCUUUUUAUUUAGGGUUCUAUAUAUACACACAAUUGGGUGUCAAACUCUCAUAAGCUCAAUAGCAAAUACAAAAUAUCUUUGCCAGACUAAGACUUACUGUCUAUAUUUUAUAUGACAUAGUCAAGUUUCUAUUGUCUUUAAAGAACAUUUAGAAUUGUGCCCCCAAAUAUGGUUGAAGCUUCCAUUUCUAAUGCAAAACCUUGUCCUAAAUUCCAAGUAGAUCUUACGUUUUAGAAGUCUGGAGGAAUGGGCAUUACAGAUAUAUCAGAAUUUAAGGAAAACCUAGGGAAAUCGGGAGAGAAAAAGGCAGCUGGUGCAAUCAGUUACUGUCCUCAGUUCUGCUUACAUUUUUGUGUUGUAAUCGUGUACUCUUAAUUACUUUGAGAUGGAGUUUCUAAGUAACACACUACCACCAAGUUCAAGACUGCUAUUUAAUGUUUUAGGUGUUCAGUUGGUAACUUGAAUUUCAAGUUUUAUAGUGAUAAGUGUGUAUGAUUUGGCUGCUGAAUUGUUACAAUUUUUUAUUAUGUUGUACAUUGUAUCAUACACAUCAUUACAAAUUAAUAUGAAGGGGAAUAUAUGUUACAUAUCAAAAUUUGUGACUUUGAAUUCUAGUAUGUUUUUGUGUUUUUGCAAAAAUGUUUAUUUUUAUAUUAUCUGUGAUUUUAACAUAGUUGGACUAGAUUUCUUUGUGAUUAGUAGUUUCAUUGAAUGAGCAGUAUGGAAACAGUGUUACUUGACAUUUUGAGCCUUCUCAGGUUUAUCUAAAUCAAUGGUAGCUUAACAAAUUCCAGACUAACUGUAUGUAAUUGUGUUUUUAAUAAAAGGAAUGUAUAUUUCCUAUAAUUUUGCAUGCGUGAGUGUACAAUAUUGUGUUUGUAUAUGUGUUCUAAGGCAUGCAGUAACUUUGUAUCUGCUAUUUAUAAUAUGAAAGCUUUGAUAUGAU
rnacentral:lncRNA from 1 species